rnacentral:rRNA from 1 species
UACGGAGGGUGCGAGCGUUUGUCCGGAAUCACUGGGCGUAAAGGGCGCGUAGGUGGCGUCGCAAGUCGAUGGUGAAAGCUCGGCGCUCAACGCCGAGUCGGCCCUUGAUACUGCGAGGCUGGAGCACUGUAGAGGCUAAUGGGAAUUCCGGGGUGUAGUGGUGAAAAUGCGUAGAGAUCCGGAGGAACACCAGUGGCGAAGGCGACACGCUGG